rnacentral:rRNA from 1 species
CCUACGGGGUGCAGCAGUGGGGAAUAUUGGGCAAUGGGCGCAAGCCUGACCCAGCAACGCCGCGUGAAGGAAGAAGGCUUUCGGGUUGUAAACUUCUUUUCUCAGGGACGAAGCAAGUGACGGUACCUGAGGACUAAGCCACGGCUAACUACGUGCCAGCAGCCGCGGUAAUACGUAGGUGGCAAGCGUUAUCCGGAUUUACUGGGUGUAAAGGGCGUGUAGGCGGGAAAGCAAGUCAGAUGUGAAAACCAUGGGCUCAACCUGUGGCCUGCAGUGGAAACUGUUUUUCUUGAGUACUGGAGAGGCAGACGGAAUUCCUAGUGGAGCGGUGAAAUGCGUAGAUAUUAGGAGGAACACCAGUGGCGAAGGCGGUCUGCUGGACAGCAACUGACGCUGAGGCGCGAAAGCGUGGGGAGCAAACAGGAUUAGAUACCCUAGUAGUC